rnacentral:rRNA from 1 species
CAGGAUGAACGCUGGCGGCGUGCUUAACACAUGCAAGUCGAACGAAGCAUGGAAGCGGAGGUUUCGGAUCGAAGGUCCUUGACUUAGUGGCGGACGGGUGAGUAACGCGUGGGCAACCUGCCCUUAACCGGGGGACAACAGUUGGAAACGGCUGCUAAUACCGCAUAAGCGCACGGUACCGCAUGGUAGUGUGUGAAAAAAUUCCGGUGGUUAAGGAUGGGCCCGCGUUGGAUUAGGUAGUUGGUGAGGUAACGGCCCACCAAGCCGACGAUCCAUAGCCGACCUGAGAGGGUGACCGGCCACAUUGGGACUGAGACACGGCCCAGACUCCUACGGGAGGCAGCAGUGGGGAAUAUUGCACAAUGGGGGAAACCCUGAUGCAGCCGACGCCGCGUGAGUGAAGAAGUAUUUCGGUAUGUAAAGCUCUAUCAGCAGGGAAGAAAAUGACGGUACCUGCACAAGAAGCCCCGGCUAACUACGUGCCAGCCGCAGC